ensembl:lncRNA
GGACUGUAGCCCACCAGGCUCCUCUGUCCAUGAAAUUCUCCAGAGUCUAUGUCCUGGGACAAAAAAGUAAGUGAACUGAGAAGAAAGUCAUCAGGAUAAUCCAGUGAUGUGAGAUUACAAACCAGUUUCACCACUUCCAUGCUCCAUGAAAACAAAGCCUGAACAAUUGCAAACUUUUGUGUCCUUUAGAACAUCUUCUCACUCUGCCUCUGCCCUGCACUCCACACCCUCUGUGGGGUUCCAGGGAGUGAAGCCAUUGUCAUGACAGUUGAAGCUGUAUUGUGACCCGCAGAGCAUUCCCAAAAUGUGACAUCGUUUGGCAAACCCCCAAUCAGCAUGUAUAGGAGAUAGGGCACCAUCAUUUGACUUUGAUGCUAAGGGCCUUGGGUAAAACUGAUCUCUCAUCACCAGGAAGACCAUGAUCAUCUCUGUGGGCAGCCAAAAGCAACAGUCACAACAAAAACAGCCAGAUGGGUAAAUAAAAGAACAACGGAUAAUUGCUGAGUGCUGACUGGAUGUCAGCCAUCGCUUUGUAAUGCUGUGCUAAGCCCUGAGACCAAGAUAAUCAGAAGACUGAGAAACUAAGGCUUUCCAGCCAAGCCAAACACAGGAGGUCUGAUAAGAAGACCCCUGGACUCAUCAUUUACUGGCUCUUCUUCGGUUCUUCCUUGGCUGAAAAGAAAAGUGAGAAGAAAAGCCUUCAGAGGACGAGAGGAUGAGAGGUGGUGGGGAUUUGCAGAGCCAAGUGGCCACCAUGAUAAGCAAGGCUGACAUCCAUGUGCCCUGGUCUAUUGGAGGAGCAGGCAGUCUGGCCCAUGCAUGUUUACAGCCCCUGGGCCUUUGCGUCCCUUCCUGGCUUGGAACAAGUCCUUCUGUUCCCAGUUCCACUUCAUCCUCCAGGAUCCCACUUAGACGUCACUAUUUUUGAGAAGCUUAACUGUGAGGCUGAACUGGGUGCCUUCAACCAAACUCCCACAGUACCAUGUGAAUGCGUGUGUACUAGUCCUUACCACGCUCUGCUCUCAUUGACUUGCCUGGACUCUCUACAGACUACAGGUUGGACUGAAGCUGGCAAACCACAGUACUCUGGACAAAGCAGUGUUCCCUUGUUGUGAUAGAUAGCACGGAACCAGAAACACUUCCAGUAUGAGGGUCUCUGGGGACGACGCAAGGGACCAGGAAACUGAAGUGGGAUGGUUCUUCACCCAGAAAGCAUGACAGCAGAUGCUAAGCUGGUUCUUCAAAAUGAGAAUAGAGGCUUGUGCUUCUCAGCAAAAUCCAGGCAGAAGAGAAGGUAUCACUCUUUGGCUGUCAGGAAAGCACCAGGCAG